rnacentral:rRNA from 1 species
GACGAACGCUGGCGGCGUGCUUAACACAUGCAAGUCGAGCGGUAAGGCCCUUUCGGGGGUACACGAGCGGCGAACGGGUGAGCAACACGUGGGUGACCUGCCCUCAGCUCUGGGAUAAGCCUGGGAAACUGGGUCUAAUACUGGAUAUGACUCCACGGUGCAUGUCGUGGGGUGGAAAGCCUUGUGCGGCUGAGGAUGGGCCCGCGGCCUAUCAGCUUGUUGGGGGGUGAUGGCCUACCAAGGCGACGACGGGUAGCCGGCCUGAGAGGGCGACCGGCCACACUGGGACUGAGACACGGCCCAGACUCCUACGGGAGGCAGCAGUGGGGAAUCUUGCGCAAUGGGCGAAAGCCUGACGCAGCGACGCCGCGUGAGGGAUGAC